rnacentral:rRNA from 1 species
AGUUUGAUCCUGGCUCAGAACGAACGCUUGUUGCGUGCCUAACGCAUGCAAGUCGUACGAUAAAAUCCGCUUCUGCGGGUGAGUAAAGUGGCGCACGGGUGAUUAACGCGUGGAUAAUCUGCCUUUAGGCGGGGAAUAACUUACUCGAAUGGCGGGCUAAUACCCCAUAUGAGCUAUGGAACUCCGGUUUUCAUAGCCAAAGAGAGCCUCUGCAUGCAAGCCCUCACUUACAGAUGAGUCCGCGUAUCCAUUAGCUAGUUGGUGGGGUAAUGGCCUACCAAGGCGACGAUGGUUAGCUGGACUGAGAGGAUGAUCAGCCACACUGGAACUGAGACACGGUCCAGCCUCGUACGGGAGGCAGCAGUGAGGAAUAUUGCGCAAUGGGGGCAACCCUGACGCAGCAACGCCGCGUGAGCGAGGAAGGUUUUCGGAUCGUAAAGCUCUGUCGCGUGGGAAGAAAUGUACGGAGGUUAACAGCCUGUGUGCUUGCCGGUACCGCCAAAGGAAGCUCCGGCUAACUCCGUGCCAGCAGCCGCGGUAAUACGGGGGGUGCUAGCGUUGUUCGGAAUCAUUGGGCGUAAAGAGCGUCUAGGCGGAUAGGCAAGUCAGAUGUGAAAUCCCUGGGUUUAACCCAGGACGUGCAUUUGAAACUGCUUGGCUUGAGUAGGGAAGAGGGAAGUGGAAUUCGUGGUGUAGAGGUGAAAUUGGUAGAUUUCAGGAGGACCCCCGGGGGGGAAGGCGCCUUCCUGGUCCUAUACUGACGCCGAGACGCGAGAGCGUGGGGAGCAAAAAGGAUUAGAUACCCUGGUAGUCCACGCCGUAAACGAU